AGUGAACGCUGGCGGUAGGCCUAACACAUGCAAGUCGAACGGCAGCACAGUAAGAGCGUGCUCUUACGGGUGGCGAGUGGCGGACGGGUGAGGAAUACAUCGUAAUCUACUUUUUCGUGUGGGAUAACGUAGGGAAACUUAAUCUAAUACCGCAUACGACCUACGAUGGAAAGCAGUGGAUCUUCUCACCUGGCGCGAUUGAAUUAGCCGAUGUCGGAUUAGCUAGUCGGGGGGGUAAAGGCCCACCAAGUCGACGAUCCGUAGCUGGUCUGAGUGGAUGAUCAGCCACACUGGAGCUUAGACACCGUCCAGGCUCCUACGGGAGGCCGCAGUGGCGUAUAUUGGACAAUGGGCGCAAGCCUGACACAGCCAGCGCGCGUGUGUGACGAAGGCGUUCCGGUUGUAAAGCCCUUUUGCUGGGAAAGAAAAGCUGCAGGUUAAUACCCAGCUGUUCUGACGGUAACCAAAGAAUAAGCACCGGCUAACUACGUG
rnacentral:rRNA from 1 species